rnacentral:rRNA from 1 species
UUUUCCCUACGGGGGGCAGCAGUGGGGGAUAUUGCACAAUGGGGGAAACCCUGAUGCAGCGACGCCGCGUGUGGGAAGACGGUCCUCUGGAUUGUAACCCACUGUCCCCAGGGACGAAGAUGACGGUACCUGGGGAGGAAGCUCCGGCUAACUACGUGCCAGCAGCCGCGGUAAUACGUAGGGGGCAAGCGUUAUCCGGAUUUACUGGGUGUAAAGGGAGCGUAGACGGCCAGACAAGUCAGAAGGGAAAGCCCAGGGCUCAACCCUGGGACUGCUUUUGAA